rnacentral:rRNA from 1 species
AUACGGAGGAUCCGAGCGUUAUCCGGAUUUAUUGGGUUUAAAGGGUGCGCAGGCGGGAGAUUAAGUCGGCGGUGGAAUUUUGCCACUCAACUGGAAAAAGGCCUUCGAAACCGGGUUUCUUUAGUGUGGCUGAAGGCAGUGGAAUUUGGGGUGUAGCGGGGAAAUGCUUAGAUAUCACGAGGAACUCCGAUUGCGCAGGCAGCUUACUAAACCACUACUGACGCUCAGGCACGAAGGCGUGGGGAUCAAACAGGAUUAGAUACCCUGGUAGUCCACGCAGUAAACGAUGAUUACUGGCUGUUUGCGAUACAAUGUAAGCGGCUGAGCGAAAGCGUUAAGUAAUCCACCUGGGGAGUACGUUCGCAAGAAUGAAACUUAAAGGAAUUGACGGGG